rnacentral:rRNA from 1 species
CCGACGGUGAGGGAUGAAAGCUGGGGGAGCAAACCGGAUUAGAUACCCGGGUAGUCCCAGCUGUAAACGAUGCAGACUCGGUGAUGCGUUGGCUUGUUGCUAGCGCAGUGCCGCAGGGAAGCCGUUAAGUUUGCCGCCUGGGAAGUACGUACGCAAGUAUGAAACUUAAAGGAAUUGGCGGGGGAGCACCACAAGGGGUGAAGCCUGCGGUUCAAUUGGAGUCAACGCCUGAAACCUUACCCGGAGAGACAGCAGAAUGAAGGUCAAGCUGAAGACUUUACCAGACAAGCUGAGAGGUGGUGCAUGGCCGUCGCCAGCUCGUGCCGUGAGAUGUCCUGUUAAGUCAGGUAACGAGCGAGAUCCCUGCCUCUAGUUGCCACCAUUACUCUCAGGAGUAGUGGGGCGAAUUAGCGGGACCGCCGCAGUUAAUGCGGAGGAAGGAAGGGGCCACGGCAGGUCAGUAUGCCCCGAAACUCUGGGGCCACACGCGGGCUGCAAUGGUAACGACAAUUGGUUUCGAAUCCGAAAGGAUGAGGUAAUCCUCAAACGUUACCACAGUUAUGACUGAGGGCUGCAACUCGCCCUCACGAAUAUGGAAUCCCUAGUAACUGCGUGUCAUUAUCGCGCGGUGAAUACGUCCCUGCUCCUUGCACACACCGCCCGU